AAGCUCAUUUACCAUAAUGCUAAAUAUGUUUUUGAAGCAUUGCGGAGGGCUGGUGUAAGAACAAUUGUAUUGUCCAACUUAAGAACCCAUCUCCGGACACUUUUAGAGGCCCUGAAAUGA
rnacentral:rRNA from 1 species